UGUUUUGGUCCUAGACUUACUGUUGUCUCUUGCUAUAUUUACACAUGCCAGCACCUACAUACCAGUGCCUAAGCCCACCACCUGUCAAUACAGGGCUGGAGCGGGCAUCAGGCGCGCCCCCCCCGGCAGCCCAAAACGCCUAGCCAAUGCCACACCCCCACGGACCACAGCAGUGAUAAACAUUAAGCAAUGAGCGCAAGCUCGACUUAGCCACAGCACCAUAGGGCCGGUAAACUCCGUGCCAGCCACCGCGGUUACACGAAGGGCCCAAGACAACACACAGCCGGCGUAAAACGUGACUAGAGACAAGACCCCCCCCACCAAGAAAUUAUAACCACAACAAAGUAGUAAAACACACAAGCUAGUGGGAUAGCCCACCAAAUUUCCGAAACCUCAGGGACCCCUUGACCUCACGAAAGCUAAGACACAAACUAGGAUUAGAUACCCUACUAUGCUCAGCCAUUAACCCAGGCAGUACUAUCCAAAACAAACUGCCCGCCAGAAGACUACAAGCAAAAAGCUUAAAACUCAAAGGACUUGACGGUGUCCCAUAUCACCCUAGAGGAGCCUGUCCUAUAAUCGAUACUCCACGAUACACCCAACCCCCAAUUGCAAAAUCAGCCUAUAUACCGCCGUCGCCAGCCUACCUUAUGACAGAGAUCACGUAGGCAUAACAGUAUAAUUACUAAAACGUCAGGUCAAGGUGUAGCUAAUAUGGGGGCAGAGAUGGGCUACAUUUUCUACCAUAGAACAGACCCCAACCGUAAGCAACAUGAAAAAAAGCCCAAGGGUGGAUUUAGCAGUAAGUCUAGGAAAGACCCCCUAACUGAAGCAUGCUCUGGGAC
rnacentral:ncRNA from 1 species